rnacentral:misc_RNA from 1 species
AAGUCGUAACAAGGUUUCCGUAGGUGAACCUGCGGAAGGAUCAUUACAGAGAAAAUGCCCUUUGGGUAUAUCUCCCACCCUUUGUUUACAAUACCUGUUGCUUUGGCAGGCCCGUCUAAGGACCACUGGCUCUUGCUGGUCAGUGCCUGCCAGAGGCCCUAAACACUCUGUAAUAUGUCGUCUGAGUACUAUAUAAUAGUUAAAACUUUCAACAACGGAUCUCUUGGUUCUG